rnacentral:tRNA from 1 species
AUCUGGCUGGCGGGGCUUGGCGCUUUUGCCCGUGCCGAGGAAGAGGGCAGUGGUUUCUUCGAUGCGCUGGUGGAAGCCGGCCGCCAGGUG